GUGCGAGCGUUGUCCGGAAUUAUUGGGCGUAAAGAGCUCGUAGGCGGCUUGUCACGUCGGAUGUGAAAGCCCGGGGCUUAACUCCGGGUCUGCAUUCGAUACGGGCUGGCUAGAGUGUGGUAGGGGAGAUCGGAAUUCCUGGUGUAGCGGUGAAAUGCGCAGAUAUCAGGAGGAACACCGGUGGCUAAGGCGGAUCUCUGGGCCAUUACUGACGCUGAGGAGCGAAAGCGUGGGGAGCGAACAGG
rnacentral:rRNA from 1 species